GAAUUAUCUUGUUAAAAUAGUUUAUUUAUUAAAUGAAAGUAGGAAAAAUAAUUUGAUUUGAUAAUAAAAAGUAAUUUUUGGUGAAAAUUUUUUUUAACUAUAGUCAAUAAGUACUGAAAAGGAAGGAUGAAAAUUUAAAAUUCUAAAGUAUAGUAAAUUUAAUCGUUUGUAUUUUGUGUAUUAAAGAAGAUUUAAAUAUUUUAAUUAACUUUAAAUUUCUCGAAAUAAAUGUAGCUAGUCUAAAAUAUAAGUUUUUGUAGUAAAAAAAUUUAUUAUUUAAGACUAAAGAUGAAACGUCAAUCGAAAUUUAUUAUAUCUAGUUUUUUUAAAAUUAAUUAAAUUAUAUUUCUGUGAGUUUAAAGCACAGAAUUGAAAUGUAGGAGGGAUUAGCUUCUUAUAUAUUACAGUAUAUAAUAGUAAAGGUAAAAGACUAAGAUUAAAUUAGGCUUAAAAGUAGCUAUGUUAGUAAAGUGUUUUAACUAAAUAUUAUUUAUUUAAAAUUUUCUAUUUACUUUAGUUUCUAAAAAAAAAUGAUCUUAAUUAGUUCAAGUCUAGAUAUAAUGAUUUUAUUAGUAAAUAUUAAUAGUGUUAAUUAGCGUCUAUAUUAAAAUAUAAUUGGUUUUUUAUUAUUGGAAUAGGUUGUAAAAAGGAACUCGGCAAAUAAUUUCUUUGCCUGUUUAUCAAAAACAUGUCUGUUUGUAGAUAUAAAGAGUCUGGCCUGCCCACUGAUUUUUUAAAGGGCCGCGGUAAUCUGACCGUGCAAAGGUAGCAUAAUCGUUAGUUUUUUAAUUGGAAUCUUGUAUGAAUGGUUGAACAAAAGAACAGCUGUCUCUAUACUUUUUUCUGAAUUUAACUUUUAAGUGAAAAGGCUUAAAUGCUUUAAGAAGACGAUAAGACCCUAUAAAGCUUAAUAAGCUUUUGUAAAAAACUGAAUUUAAAAAAUAAAAGUUCAGUACAAGAUGCUUAUUUUGUUGGGGCGACAAUGAUAAAGUGUUUGUUAACUGUUAAAAAAAAAGACAAAAUUAAAUGGUUGAAAAUUGUGGUUUAAAUGAUCCUCCUGUGGAGAUUAAAAGUUUAAGUUACUUUAGGGAUAACAGCGUUAUUUCUUUUGAGAGUCCUUAUCGAAAAAGAAGUUUGCGACCUCGAUGUUGAAUUAAAAUUUCUAUAUAAUUGCAGAGGUUAUAAUAGAAGGUCUGUUCGACCUUUAAAUUUUUACAUGAUUUGAGUUCAGACCGGCGUGAGCCAGGUUGGUUUCUAUCUUUUAAAAAAUAAGAAGUUACUUUAGUACGAAAGGAUUAAGUAACUAAAAUUAUUUUAUUUUUGGUAAACUACU
rnacentral:rRNA from 1 species